rnacentral:misc_RNA from 1 species
GAUGAAGAACGUAGCGAAAUGCGAUAAGUAAUGUGAAUUGCAGAAUUCAGUGAAUCAUCGAAUCUUUGAACGCACCUUGCGCCCUUUGGACUUCUGAAGGGCAUGCCUGUUUGAGUAUCAUGAACACCUCAACUCCUUAUGGUCUUCCAUGAUGAGCUUGGACUUUGGGGGUUUUGCUGGCCUACAGUCAGCUCCUCUAAAAUAAAUCAGCUUACCGGUGUUUGGUGGGUAUCAUGGGUGUGAUAACUAUCUACGCUCGUGGUUUUCCACCAGGUAACCUUCAGCAGUGGAGGUUCACUGGAGCUCAUAGAUGUCUCUCCUCAGCGAGGACAGCCCUUUGAAUGUUUGAUCUCAAAUCAGGUAGGACUACCCGCUGAACUUAAACAUAUCAAUAAGCGGAGGA